CUAUCAGCUUUCGACGGUAUGGUAUUGGCUUACCGUGGCAGUGACGGUUAACGGGGGAUUAGGGUUCGAUUCCGGAGAGGGAGCCUGAGAAACGGCUACCACAUCUAAGGAAGGCAGCAGGCGCGCAAAUUACCCAAUUCUAACAGCAUAAGAGAGGUAGUGACAAGAAAUAACAAUACAAGGUAAUUAAAUUGCUUUGUAAUUGGAAUGAUAGAAAUUUAAACACUUUUUAAAGUAUCAAUUGGAGGGCAAGUCUGGUGCCAGCAGCCGCGGUAAUUCCAGCUCCAAUAGCGUAUAUUAAAAUUGUUGCAGUUAAAAAGCUCGUAGUUGAAUUUCUGUUAAAAAUAACCGGUCUGCUUUUAUUAAAAGUGGUAUCUUGGUGUGUUUUUAGCAAUAAUGUCCUUUGAAAUGUUUUUUACUUUAUUGUAAUAAGUCAUUAUUUUGAGGAUUUUUACUUUGAGAAAAUUAGAGUGUUUCUAGCAGGCUUACGCUUUUGAAUACUGCAGCAUGGAAUAAUAAGAUAGGAUUUUAGUUCUACAUUAUUGGUUUUAAGAACUAAAUUAAUGAUUGAUAGGGAUAGUUGGGGGCAUUUGUAUUUAACUG
rnacentral:rRNA from 1 species